AACCUGGCGGCAUGCCCACGUUAAGUCGAACGAGAUCUUCGCGUCUAGUGGCGCACGGGUGCGUAACGCGUGGGAAUCUGCCCUUUGGUUCGGAAUAACAGUUGGAAACGACUGCUAAUACCGGAUGAUGACGAAAGUCCAAAGAUUUAUCGCCAGAGGAUGAGCCCGCGUAGGAUUAGCUAGUUGGUGUGGUAAAGGCGCACCAAGGCGACGAUCCUUAGCUGGUCUGAGAGGAUGAUCAGCCACACUGGGACUGAGACACGGCCCAGACUCCUACGGGAGGCAGCAGUGGGGAAUAUUUGGGACCAAAUGGGCGAAAGCCUUAUCCAGCAAUGCCGCGUUAGUGAUUAAGGGCCUAAAGGGUUGUAAAGCUCUUUUAAACCGGGAUUAUA
rnacentral:rRNA from 1 species